rnacentral:tRNA from 27 species
UUGUAGCGGAUAUAGUUUAGUGGUAAAAGUG